rnacentral:rRNA from 1 species
UACGGGGGGGGGCAAGCGUUGUUCGGAAUUACUGGGCGUAAAGGGCUCGUAGGUGGCCAACUAAGUCAGACGUGAAAUCCCUCGGCUUAACCGGGGAACUGCGUCUGAUACUGGAUGGCUUGAGUUUGGGAGAGGGAUGCAGAAUUCCAGGUGUAGCGGUGAAAUGCGUAGAUAUCUGGAGGAAUACCGGUGGCGAAGGCGGCAUCCUGGACCGGCAUUGACGCUGAGGAGCGAAAGCUAGGGGAGCAAACGGGG